rnacentral:lncRNA from 1 species
UAAAUAAGAGAUUAUUGAGUCAUUUAGGGUCUAUGUUGAGUUUUGUCUGGUAUUAGGAACUAUUAGGAGCUUUGGGAGAGAUUGACCUACCUCUCGAAUUGUAAGUCAGGAUUGAUUGUUUGUUUUCUUUUGAUUUAAUCAAUAAAAGUCAGCCCUAAUUUAGCCCUAAGUCCUAUCAAAGUGGUAUCAGAGCAAGAAUCCUGAGACAAUGGCAGCAACGAAAGUGGACGUGCUUGAAGAAAAAUUGGAAGCGGAGAUUGGAUUGCUCAAGGCCACCAUUGACGAGCGAUUUAAUAGCGUUCAACAAAAAUUUUCAUCCCUUGAAGCCAUGUUGCUGAAAUUAAUAGAACUCCACCUCAACCCACCACUGGCAAUAUCAACAGGCCAAGGCAGUGUGGCGGGAGAAGGAUAUGACGACACGAAACCCGUGCUCGGUGACGGCACAAAGGGUGGAGGGCCAAAAACCACCAGUCUUACUCAGCUAGGGGUAAGAGUUCACGGCGAGAGAUUGGAUUGCUCAAGGCCACCAUUAAUGAGCAAUUUAAUAACGUUCAACAAAAAUUUUCAUCCCUUGAAGCCAUGUUGCUGAAAUUAAUAGAACUCCACCUCAACCCACCACUGGCAGUAUCAACAGGCCAAGGCAGUGUGGCGGGAGAAGGAACUGGCGACACGAAACCCGUGCUCG